CGGGAAGGUCUCGUUCCUGCGCGGGCCGAGCCUGUUCUCCACAUCCCACCCCAUCCAUCUCGGCCCCGGCGUUGCCUUCGAUGGCCGGACCACGGCUGAAAAUCCCGGCCGGGAAGGGAAAAUGAGCAGAGAGCAGUAAACAGCGAUCGAUACCACCCACGUAAAUCAAAGCUUUUGUUCGGCCUCCAUCGUUUUUAAGAAGGUAAAGGACCCCGAGACGAAAAAGUCGGAGAACAGCUGCAAGUGGACAAGUAUCCGCGGCGCCUGUUAAAGACACCACGGUCUUGGUUAGCAAAGCCAACACCCGCAUUUAAUACCGGCUUACCUUUUUGGCCAUACUGAUCUGCAUCACAGCAUAACUGAUCAGCGCCUCCUUUAAAUCAUGGUUCUUUUGCUCCUUGAAGCGUUCAAUAUCAGCCCAAGCACUUUUCAUGAAGUCUCUGAAAUAAAUUAGAACAAACAAGAAACACCUUAGCACAGAACCAGCCGCAGACCCAAUAUGGAAUAUUGCAUCCUGUCCUGGACACCAGAGACUAAAAAAAAAAAGCAUCCAUCAAUUAGAGUGGACUCAGCAGAUGGCUACCAAGAUAGUGAAGGGAAUGGAAGCCAAAUCCUGCCAGCAACACUGUUUGGAAUUUGGAGAAAAUUUGGAUUUGAACCACUUGAAGUCCCAGGUGAAAACAAAUGGAUGAGUGGCUCCUAUGGACACUGCACUGCACCAGAAGAGUGCAGGCCAACAUUUCGCUUAUAUGCAGCUGGAUGAUACUAUUCUUACUUUUCUAAAAUAAUGUUCAAAAUAUUUUAGUAUCCAGGACAUCCACUCUUUUGACUAACAGAAAACAGGACAAUUUAAUUAUUCCUUUCAGCAACAAACUUUAUAGCAGGAUGACAAGGGAUUUUUUUUUUGUAAUAACCUUAUAAUAUCUAAUUGGCUGUUAAUAUCUACUGAAUGCUAAAUUACACUAAAGCAGGGAGCUUCUAAAAUACAUUGUAGUCCUUUAAACAGUAAUACUAUUCCAUGAUUUCAUUCAGAAAUAAAUUCCACUGAACUUAACCAGAAUUCCAUCUUUACAUUAGUGUAAUCAUAAUUGCUUUUAGGCCCCAUCACACUUACUUAUCUGGAUUUUUCAC